rnacentral:rRNA from 1 species
UGGGGAAUAUUGCACAAUGGGCGCAAGCCUGAUGCAGCAAUGCCGCGUGAGUGAAGACGGCCUUAGGGUUGUAAAACUCUUUCGCUAGGGAAGAUAAUGACGGUACCUAGUAAAGAAGUCCCGGCUAACUCCGUGCCAGCAGCCGCGGUAAUACGGAGGGGACUAGCGUUGUUCGGAAUUACUGGGCGUAAAGAGUUCGUAGGCGGACUAGCAAGUUAGAGGUGAAAUCCCAGGGCUCAACCUUGGAACUGCCUUUAAAACUGCUAGUCUAGAGACCGGAAGAGGUUAGGGGAAUACCUAGUGUAGAGGUGAAAUUCGUAGAUAUUAGGUGGAACACCAGUGGCGAAGGCGCCUAACUGGUCCGGUACUGACGCUGAGGAACGAAAGCGUGGGGAGCAAACAGGAUUAGAUA